GUCAUGAGACAGGGAGAGUGCGCGUGAAUACGUCGGUGCGGAUCGUGGUCCGGUUAGAUUUGACUGAAAGGGAGGGUAGUCGGUGUGUCUGGUCAGCUGUGACAGCCAGGGGCUCAACCGCGGUACGUCGGUGUAAACCACCUGGCGAUAGUCCGGAUGAGGAUAUUGGAAUUCCCGGUGCAGCGGUGAAAUGCGCAGAUAUCGGGAAGAACACCCGUGGCGAAGGCGGCUCUCUGGGACGGUACUGACGCUGAGACGCGAAAGCGUGGGUAGCGAACAGGAUUAGAUACCCCAGUAGUC
rnacentral:rRNA from 1 species